AUACGGAGGGUGCAAGCGUUACUCGGAAUCACUGGGCGUAAAGCGCGCGCAGGCGGUCUUUUAAGUUGGAUGUGAAAGCCUACGGCUCAACCGUAGAACUGCAUCUAAAACUAUUAGACUAGAGUGUGGGAGAGGAAGAUGGAAUUAGUUGUGUAGGGGUAAAAUCCGUAGAGAUAACUAGGAAUACCAAAAGCGAAGGCAAUCUUCUGGAACACUACUGACGCUGAGGCGCGAAAGCGUGGGGAGCAAACAGGAUUAGAAACCCUAGUAGUCC
rnacentral:rRNA from 1 species